CCUGACAUUCUCGUCAGUCCAAUCACACACAGCCCAAGAUCACCAGGCGAUGUGAGACUCGUCUCGCUAGCCCGUCAUCCAGACCCUGGCUCAGCCGAGACUCGCCACACAUGUCCAGCUGGUGAACCGGCUCUGAUACCAAAUGUAACGACCCAGCCCACUAGCAAUAAUAACUCGUUGGGCCCAACCACCGGCCCAAAAUGCUUAAGUCCAG
rnacentral:lncRNA from 1 species